UUCCCGUAACGUUCCCUUAGAAUGGGGCACCAUCUUAUCUCCAAUUCCUGUAGAGGCGCUGCCAAAACAUAGUCUGGUAGUGCUCUCAACAACGGGCAAUUAACAAUCAUCAACUCUCGAAGUUGUGGCAUAAUGGAUAUUAUUGAAGUUGUGUUGGCAUCUUCUUCUCCCAAGGAUCUCCUUUCAAUUCCAUCCCACUCCUCUACUUCUGUGAGACCCUCCAUCGCAAGUUUUUUUAAUUUGGGGAAAGCAGUGACCCUUGCAAUUUCUCCUUCAUUAAUACUGGCAUUCUCAUCUUUUUCUAUACCUAAAAAUCCAGCAUCCAGCCUUCUCACCUUCAUCAAAAUCAAUACCAGGCUUUCAAGGUUGGGCAAUCUACCCAACGGAGGCAAGACCUCCAGGUUUUCACAAUAACGGAGUGUAAGCACCUGUAAUCUGGUUAAUGCCAUCAUCCAAUUUGGCAAAUCCAACCCUCCGUACCCAUAUAUGGUUAGAUUUUCCAAGUCUGACGGAGGCCGUAAAGCUUCAAAUAAAAUGCCGUCCUCCAGGUUGUGGUCGAAAACCAAUUCCAAACGAAGCAGGCGCUUCUUAUUCUUGAGUUGUGCUUCUGCAGCGUCCCUCGCAUCUUCUUUACCUCCUCCUAGAUUCCCUAUCUGAAGACUCCCUCCAAUGUGAUUUAAGUUUUUUAAUUCUCUUAGAUUAGCUGCUUUACUUUCAUUCUCACCACCACCACACACAAAAAACUGGUCUAAUGUUCGAAGACAUGUUAUCCUCUCUAUUCCCUUUGGUAUGAAGGCCACACCUGAACCAUAAAUCCGGAGAUGCCUCAAUUUGAUAAGUUUUCCAAUCGCCCGAGGUAAUUCGUUGAGAUAACAACACUGAGUAACGUCUAGGGAUUGCAGAUUGCAUAAAUCACAAAUGGUUUCUGGCAGGGACUCCAACAUUCCACAAAAUGCCAAAUUGAGGUGUCUCAAAUGUAUCAAUUUCCCUACCUGAUUUGGUAUUUCUCUGAUAGAAGACUCUGACAAAUUCAAUGACCUGAUGCAUGUCAACUGCUUGAAUAAAUCAGGUAGUGCAGCUCCAAGCGAAGAGUCUCCAGUGUGGAUCAAGAGGCUGCGAAGACCUUUUGCUUUGUGAAUGGACUUGGGAAAAGAGGUCACCGCUAAAUGACGAACCCUUUCAAUUGAAGUCUUCACUGUUAGACAUUCAUUUUUUGUCAUAUAUUGGGCAAAAUCAUGCACUAUAUCAUGCAUCUUGAAUCUCAUUCCUUCACGAUCACUCUUCUCAAAAUCUUGGAAGAAAGAGCGCGUUGCUAAGACUUGAAAGUACUGCUCUCCUACAAGCUCCAUAUCUCCACCUGAAGUCUCCUUGAGGUAACCUUGAGCCAUCCACAUCUUCACCAAUUCAUCUUUGUCCAUCUCGUAGUCUUUUGGAAACAUGGCACAAUACAAGAAACAUCGUCUUACCACAGAAGGUAAAUCGUAGUAACUCAAAAGCAAAGGUGGAAAUAGUCCUCUUUCAACAUGUUCUAGCUCCCACAGUUCGCUAGAUAAAACAUGUUCCCACUCUUCUCUUGUUCUUUUAGACUGCAUUAGACCUCCUAAUACCUUGGCAGCUAGAGGCAAGCCCUUGCACUUGCUUGCAAUUUUGUCGCCGAUUUCUGUCAAUCUUUCGCACUCAUCUUUGCUUCUUUUAUGGAAUGCCACCUGAUUGAAUAUUGACCUGCAUACCUCAUCAGACAAUUUCUCAAGGUUGAUCACGUGGUCAGUUCCUAUCAUGGUUGCCACAGAAUGUUUACGACUGGUCACUAGAAUUCUGCUUCCUGUUGCACCGCCUUUGAGAGAUAGUUUCAGUGGUUCCCAUUGUCUAUGAUUUUCUGUCCAGACAUCAUCUAGGACAAGAAGGAACCUCUUUCCCUUAAUUGAUUCAGAAACACUUUGCAAAAGGGAUUCCAAUUCAACUAAAUUCGGUGCACCCCCUUGAAGCGCCUCAAGGAUAGCUUUUGAUAUCCUAACCUCAUCGAAUGGAUCUGAUACACACACCCAUAUCUUUUUCUCAAAAUGAGCCGUAACCCGAGCAUCAUUAAAAGCUAGUUGGGCGAGAGUUGUCUUUCCAAUCCCGCCCAUUCCUACUAUAGAGAUCUCCACGUCCCCUGCUUCCUGAAUACUUUCGCCCAGCAACUUGCUUACUACAGCUUCCCUUUCAUCAUCUCGACCACGCACGAUUGAUUCAUCAACAAGGGAGGUACUUGUUAUUCGUUGUAGUUCAUCAGUGGCUCUGUACAACUCAAAGCCAAACAUAGCUCUCUCUUUGGUAAUCUCAUCCACUUUUUCACAUACUUCUUUGAUCUUGAGGGCAAUGUCGCGACGUCGAGCCACUUGAUUGAAACAAAAGCAAGGAGAUCCCAGGAAGGAACAUCGCAUCUUCUGUAGGCUGCGAGUAUUUUCUUCAACUUCCUCCAUUUUCCAUCUAAGAAUUGCAGUGCUCCAUUCAUCUAGCACGUCAUCCAUAUCAUAGCAUACAUCUUUGAGCUUGUCUGCCCAAUCCCUUACAGCCUUAUCCUUCACUUGUUUUCUAUCUGCAUCUUCAAGGACAGAUUGGAUAGCAAGGAGAUUGCUUUUCAGCUUGUCGACUUGUUUCUGCACACCCCCUACUAGGUUCACUUCUUCCUGUACCUAUUGGUGUAGAAAAGACCAGAAAGUUCAAGCAGAGGAAACAGUUCUAUGAUUUCACUACAAGUUUUUAAUUUUAAUUUUUGGGAAUUAAUAGAUUAAAUAAUUUUUAUUAAUCUUUUUUCCGCAUAGUUCACACGUACAGUGAAUUGGAUUGGCUAUAUUAUAAAUUCAUAUAUAAAAUAUUUAUUAAGAACCUAUAUAUUAAAAAUAAUAAUAUUUCUUUUUAUCAUCAUCAUGAUGAUAUCUCUGUCUGCACUCUGCUACUAUACAAGAAAGGAAAAAAAUGAAUCUUAAAUUGUUCGACGUCAAACCUGUAUAUAACAUAAGCUUGGCGGAUCAAAGAAAUAUAAAAGGAAUAAAAGGAAAGUGAAUAAAAGGAUCUGUAUUUGUUGUUAUUUGUAAAGUCUAUAAUAAGAUUAUGGAAGAAAAAAAAGACUUAAAUUUUUAUAUUUCUUAUCAUGUUACGGUUAAUUCGAUCAUUGCAAAUUGUAUAAAAGUAAUUACCUGUUGAGCAACGACCGUGGUUAACUGCUCCAAAAUUGGCGAUAAAAGUGCCUCUGCCAUUUGUCUUUUUGGUUUAAUUUUAUUUUUAAAAAAGAGAUAAUUAUGAUGAUGAACUGAGAGAGAGAGAGAAGAGUGUGAGGGGAAGGAGGCUGCUGGUUGUGAAAUGAAGAGAGAGGGUUAGUUUAUGUACUUGGGGUUUGGUGAUGAGGGUUGACUAUUGUUUCCAUCCCUGUACUGUUUCUAACAUUUCAAUUCAGUCCCUGUAUUAUUGAACGUUUCAGUCUAGUCUCGGUCAGGGGUUUCCAUCUGCGGAUGGCUUUUCCUGAUUGUAUGUUUCUACUGAGAAUGACAUGCCAUUUUGAGUUCCAAAGGUGAAACACUCGUGCUUUUCUAACUUUUCCUGGCUAAGGAUUAUUAUUUGUGGAAAGUAAUUUCUUCUUCGAUUUAUAGCAAUUAUUUUGGAUUGAUACUGACCUUAGGUUAAGAAUGCUGUAGUUUCUACUGAAAUGUAUCUGAUACAGACCUUAGGGACAACUGAUUAUAGCAUUCUUCUCGUCUGCUUCUCUAUUUCUUCUCUUCAUUUUAUGUUAUUCCACUAGUCUUCCAAACUGGAUCACGGUGAUAUAUAUCUGUCCAUCCAAACUAAUUUACCCAAACCAAAAGUAGUAACCAAUUAGCUCGUGUAAUGGAACUAUAAACAAGCAUCUAUCUUUCUGGGUUUUUGAGAUCAGGUGAUUUUAUCCUGUUUUCAUAGCAGGGACUGGGGUUUGAUAUUGAUCUUUGAUUUUACCCAAACCAAAAGUUUGAAAGGAUUGCUGGUUUGUGUGAUUGGAGCUCCUUUCAAUGGGUGUGAAAAGGCCAAGAAAUGAGCAAGAUUUUCUGGAGGAAAGGAUUCAUAUUGUCUGGACUCAAUCACCUUCCUUUCUUCUUCUUCUUCUUUCUGCAGGAAAAAAGUAGAGCAGAGCAACCCUUUUUGACAGAGGCUAGUAAGUUGCAGAAGUUAGUAAGAAGUGGAUCAUUGAGCAACCAAAUAGCCAAGAUGUCUUAUUUCAAACCCAAGUACAGAUGAAUGCCGUAUUUUUAUUUUUCUAAGGAACUGCAUAUUUGUCCCCCCACUUCUUCUUUUUCUGUUGAAACAGCGACAGGGUACGUGUACUCUAGAAAAUAUUUAGAAUGGAAACAAAUAGAAAGUAGCUUAAAAUUGUGAAAAUAUUGUUUUUAAAUUGUUUAUUUCAAACCUAAUUAAUAAUAUGUUUUUGUUUUAGAUAGUUUUUGUGAUUCUGAUUUGAAAAAAAAUAAGUUUUAAAAAAGUACAGCUAGCUGUGAUUAAUUGAAUUUAAAUACGUGUUUAAUAAAAAUUAUGGUUAAAGUUUAUGUAUAAUAAAAAAUAUGUAUAAAAUAUUUGAUAGUUAUGUUUGAGACUGUGGUUGUGAUUGUUUUUUAAAGUGUUUUUUACAUUAAAAUAAUAUUUUUUUAUUUUAAAAAAAUUAUUUUUGAUAUCAGUGCAUCAAAAUGAUCUGAAAACACCAAAAAAAUAUAUUAAUUUGAAAUAAAAAAAAAUUGUUUUUUACCAGUAAAUCAAAGUGUUUUUUACCUCAUUUUUCCUUGAUUAAUUCUAACUACGAAACAGCUACUGCACCAACAAGAUGGAAAAGGCUCACCAAGAUGUUCUCUUUGAAAAGAUUCUCAAUGAGUCGUUGACAUCUCAUACUUGUCUAAAAAUUUUAAUCUUUUUUUGGAAAAGAUUCUCAGUGAGUCUGUCUCCUGGCUUAUUGAUCAACACUUUUAUCAUAUUGUGAACAAACAUGUCAAUUUCCAGAAUUUUAUUGAGUAGGAUGACUGUAUAGAAUUACUCUGAUUUAUCAACACAUAUCAAAUUCUUGCUGCUGCUGAGGAAGAUAUCCUGCACUUAGCCAUCAUAGAGGGUAGCAAGGUUUUGUGUUGAUGGUAAUUACACUGACUCAUCGUCUAUCAUCUAGAAUUCAAUUUUAAAAAAUAUUGCAAGAAAUGUUUUUUUUCCUAAAUACAUCGAUCGGGUGUGGAUAGAUUGAUUACAAAGCGACUUCCUAAAAAGUCUUGGUCUUAAUAUGCAAAGAUGAUCCAAGUAUGCCAUAUAUUAUUUUUUUAAAAUAAAACCCACAUAUCUAGUCCACGCAAAGGUACUCGAAUAUGGAUUUGUAAAAAUAAAAAUGAAUAUUUAUACGAAAUUGAAUUGUGCAAAUAAAACCCACAGAUCUAGUCCAUGAUCUACGGCUCCUCCAGAGUUCCGUAGUGGUGUCUUUCUCAACUAUUCUUUAAAUAAAAUGUUUGGGAUGUGAGAAAUCUUGUGCCUAUCUUCACCCCUCUCCUCCUUCCCGUAACGUUUCCUUAGAGAAUUUAUGUAGAGGCGCUGUCAAAACAUAGGCCGGUAGUGCUCUCAACAAUGGGCAUUUGAGAAUUCUAAACUCACAAGUUGUGGCAUGAUGAAUAUUGAAGUCGUGGUGGAAUCUUCUUCUCCCACUCUCCUUUCAAUCCCAUCCCACUCUUCUAGUUCUUUGAGAUGCCAAAUGCUGAGUUUUUUCAAUUUAGGGAAAGGAGAGUGGUAGUUUUUUCAAUUGGGGCAAUACUCUUCCAAUUCUCUUUCACUAAUAUUUAUUGGUGGAAAAAAUCACUGAUAGUAGUUUUAAAACACUCAAAGAAAAUAAAACAUAUUGUUUUAUUUCAACAACAAGAAGCUUACAAUAAUUAAACAAAAGCUUUUAAUACACACCCUCUUUUUCUCUCUAGUGUUCAUCUCUUAUCUUUCCCACACACAAUUACAUAAACUUACCUAUCUAUUUAUACACAAAUUAAAAGUAAAAAAAAAAAAAUCAAACUUCAAGUGUGAAGGCGGCUGGUGGCUAAACAGUGGGGUCCUUUUGUAUUUUGUCAAAAGAGAUGAAAUUAUAAUCAAUGAUGAUGAUAUAUAUAUAUAUAUAUAUAUAUAUAUAUAUAUAUAUAUAUAAACUACUAUGUGCAUUCUAUAAUUUAGUUAUAUAAUACAAUAGAUCUUUACAAUUAGUGAUUUCAACUUACCAAUAGAGAAAUUAUAGUAGAUCUUUACUAUGAUAUAUUCAAAAUAAAUAAAUAAAACAGGUAUACUUCAACACGCAUAUUAUACAUACACUUCUUUUUUAAAAAUUAAUCAUAAAAAAUUGAUUAGUUAUUUAUUAUAAAAAUCAGACCUGUAAGUUAUAUCUAAAUCAUUGAAAAUAGUAAAGGUAAACUAAUUAGAAGAGACAAUGUAUUUCAAAUUAGUUAAUUUAUAUAGAAUUAUUUUAGUUACUAAAUUAAAAAAUUCAAAUUUUUAUAUCACUUGGAAUACAUAAGGUGGAUUUAAUCCACAAAAUCGAUGGGUGAUAACCUCUAAGAUAUCGAUGGGUACAUAUAUGGUGGAUUUAAUCCACAAAAUCAAUAAGAGACCAAUCGGCUAGCUCCAAAAUCAAACCAUCUCCACCUCAUUCAAACACGAUUUAAAAUAAUCAACACCACCUUUUUAUACAAUGUGGGAUUAAUGAGGAUAUAAAUCCAAGGCUCCAACAUCCAAAGUCUCAAUCUUAGAUUUAUUAGCUAGUAUAGCAACGCCUCAUUGGCAAGAACCCAAAUCACUAAGCUCAAAUUACUAAUAAAAAUUAUAAAUUUUCAGAUAAUAUUUUUAAUAUUUAAUCUUUCUAGCAAUUGAUGAUAGCAAUUGCAAAUGAAUAGAGGAGGAAGCAUCGAGAUCAUUGGCUUGUUUGAAGGCAAAUGGACCCUUUGAUCGUUAGAUGAUGCAUCUAAAUGAGGCUCCACAUUAUAAAAGCGUAAUUAGGUGGCACGCGCUAUCCCACAAACUCACCUUAGAUUUUCAAAAUAAAAUUAGAUGGAGGAUCCAUGUCUAUUUGGGUCCUCCCUAGACAGGACCCCAACAUAUUCGGGUCCAGUAACGACCAGGUCCAAGUCUAGCGUUGGGCUAGGUUGGGUAGGACCCAAGGUUAUUUGGGUGUACCUGGCAGAAUCCAAGAUUGUUUUUGAGUCCUGCAACUAAUAAUUAUAUGUAAUUUCUAAAUGAAACUAAAUGUAAAAUUAAAUAUAAUUUGAUAAAAUUAUUAUAAACAUUUGGUAAAAUUAGUAAAUGAUAUAACAUUUUCUUUCAAAUUCAUCAAUUAUUUAAAUAUUAAGUACAAAAAAUACUCUUAUGAAUUUUGAUAAAAAUAAUAAUAUUUAUAAUACAACUGAUAACAUUUUUAGUAUUAAAUUAUUAAUUAAUAUAAAUAAUAUUAUUUAUAACACCAAAAAUAAUAAUAUUUUUGAGAUUAAUACUAUUAAUUAGACUAAAAAAUAAUAUUAAUAAAACAAAUAAUAAUAUUUCUAAUACUAAUACUAUUAAUUAUACUAAAAAUAUAUAUUAAUAAAAAUAUAAAAUACUCUUAAUAUUAAUUAUACUAAAAAAAUAUUAAUAAAACAAAUAAAUAUUUUAAUACUAACUUGUAAUUAUACUAAAAAUAUGGGCAGCCCAAGCGCUAAGUGAUGCUUGGACUACACUCAAGAGAAAUCAUAUUAUUUUAAAAUAUUUGUCCACUAAUUGCUAUUGAAUUUAAAAUAAAUAUACUUUUAAAACUAAUAUAAAGUUACCAAUAGUCGAUUUGAUAGCUGCUUGCAUAAAAUCUCAUUGAAUUUGGCCAAUGGUUUUUUAGAAUAAAGUAAAAAAAAAGUUAUUUCAAAACAUAACCAAAGUAGUUUUAGUUAUUUGUCAGAAACUAGUAUAUCCCAUAAAAAUCAGAGUUUUGGAUGAAAUAAAAUCAAUUCUAAAAUCAAACGCCGAUUGAAGCUUCAACGCAUUUGUGAACUAGAGAAUUUAAUUAUUAAACUCGUUUGUUUCGCGUUCAAAAAUAUUUUAAAAUUAUUUUAUUUUUUAUUUAUUUUUUUGUUUUUUAAAUUAAUAAUUUUUUUAGUAUAUUUAGAUCAUUUUAAUGUGUUUAUAUAAAAAAUAAUUUAUAAAAAAUAAAAAAAAUUAUUAUUUUAAUAUAUUUCUAAUAAAAAAUACUUUGAAAAAUAAUUAUAAUAAUACUGUCACACAUGCUGUUUAAUGUUUGUUCAAAAAUUGUGCUUUUUAAAAUAUGCAUUCUAACGCAAAGAAAGCAUAUAAAACACAUCAAAGUUGCAAAAGUACGUAGUUUUAAUUAUUAGCAAAAGUAUUCUAAAAUAUGAAAAGAUAGGUUUAAAUACCCUAAAUAUCCGUAAAUAACUAGAAAAAAAUUAAUAAAACUAAAAUCCAAAAUUAUCAAGGCAAAAAUCUAAAAUAUGGUCUGAAACUUCAAAGGCAAUUUUUUUAGAGUGGCAUUUGGAGAAUUUAAGUAAGGAAAAAGCUUCACGUGAGCGAGAUAAUAUCAUCUUAGAUUAAUUCUUUAACAUGUAAAAUUUAAGUCUAAUUCAAUAAUUAAAUAAAAAAUUACCUCUUCCUGCCGGUCUUAACUAUUCUUUAAAUAUAAACAUAUGAAUUACAUAUUAUUUUAUAUAUGUUGAGAGAGAGAGAGAGAGAGAGAGAGGAUGUAUACUAUAUAUAUCACAGCUGCCUUUGAUAGAAUAAAUGGUAAGUAGGAAAUACAAUCCAAAGUCAACAUUAUACAGUAAAGAGGUAUAUGAAACAUACCUCGUCCUGCCUGUCCUACAGAUUAUGGUAAGUCGGAAAUCGAAUUACAGUAAAGAGGUCACAUAGAGUAAAUAGUAAGGCUUACAUAUUAUUUACACUCAACCUUAGCAAACACCAAAGCAAAUAAUUAAUACACUCAGAACCAAAUCUUUUACCGUUAAGAAUUAACACUGGUGGAAGAAUUUAUCAUCAAAAUAAAUGUUUGGGAUGUGAGAAAUCUUUUGCCAAUCUUCACCCAUCUCCACCUCCUUCCCGUAACGUUAGAUUGGGGCAACCAUAUGCGUAGAUCCUGUAUAGGCGCUGCCAAAACAUAGUCUGGUAGUGCUCUCAACAACGGGCACCAACGAAUUGUCAACUGUCGAAGUUGUGGCAUAAUGGAUAUUAUUGAAGUUGUGUUGGCAUCUUCUUCUCCCACUCUCCUUUGAAUUCCAUCCCACUCUUCUACUUCUUCGAGAUCCCAAAUCUCAAGUUUUUUAAUUUGGGGAAAGCAGUGACCCUUGCAAUUUCUCCUUCCUUAAUACUGGCAUUCUCAUCUUUUUCUAUACCUAAAAAUCCACCAUCCAGCCUUCUCACCUUCAAAAGUACCAGGUGUUCAAGGUUGGGCAAUCUUCCCAAC
rnacentral:lncRNA from 1 species